rnacentral:tRNA from 1 species
UACCCCGUGGUGUAAUUGGUAGCACUGCAGAUUUUGGUUCUGUAAGUUAAGGUUCGAGUCCUUACGGGGUAGCCA